AUCAUAAAAUAACUUCCAGUUUGACUUUUGAAAGUUGUAGUUUAGCAAUAAAGCAGAUUUGAUUUUUUUUUCUCAGAACUUGCUCCACUACCUUAAUAAAAGCUUGUGAAUUUGUUAGAGAAAAUAUAGUAGAAGCCCUCUUAUCCAAAAUGAUUGGGACCAGUAGUUUGGUUAAUCAAAACAAGAUGAAUUUGCAUUGGACUCUACUCCCCCCCCCCCCCAUAAGUCAUAUCCAUAAUGCAUUGUCUAUGAGUCUUUUGAGUUUCUAUGAAGAACUAAGUAAUCUGAGAGCUAAUGCCUAUCUAUAUCUUUAUAUUUUUUUCUGAAACCAUUUAUAUUUCUUUAUUUAAUCUGACAGUAUUUUUGAUGAUUUGCCUUUAUUGAGGUUUUUCUGAGUAUCAAUUUAGUUUUCAUAGAAACAAUUUUAAAAUGUAAUAUAUAUAAUUAAAUAACAUAAUUAUAGUAGUAACUAAUGGUGACUUAUAACAAGUUUUGGGAACAAAUCACCUGAUUUCUUGGAAGUAUUCUGAAAGGAUACGUUUCCACUGGUCAGCAGACACACAAUAGCAUUAUGCAGACUGGUUAAGAAUAUGGAAACUGGGUCUAAACUAGCUGCAUUUGAAUCCUAGCUCUAACACUUAUUAGCUUUGUGACUUGGGCAAAUAAUUUAUCAUGUCUAUAGUUUUAUUUCCUCAUCUGU